rnacentral:rRNA from 1 species
AUUGCUAGUUACCAGUCAUUAAGUUGGGGACGUCUAGCGAGACUGCCAGUGAUAAACUGGAGGAAGGUGGGGAUGACGUCAAAUCAUCAUGCCCCUUAUGACCUGGGCUACAAACGUGAUACAAUGGCUGGAACAAAGGGAUGCGAAGCAGUGAUGUGGAGCGAAACCCAUAAAAACAGUCUCAGUUCGGAUUGAAGUCUGCAACUCGACUUCAUGAAGUCGGAAUCGCUAGUAAUCGCGGAUCAGAACGCCGCGGUGAAUACGUUCUCGGGGUUU